UUAGCUCCCCCAGCCCAUGUGUUAGGAGUGGAAAACUCUGCCUGUCCGUGUGUGAGUGUGUGAGUGUGUGCAUGCAUGUGUAUAUAUGCAAGUGUGCUUGCUUUCCCCCCUCCCCACAGGGGCAGAGGCACCAUGAGAGGAGAUGCAGUGGGAGGAUCCCAGCGUUCCAAACACAGCAGCUCUGUUGUUUGACUGGGAAGAGCCUCCCCCCCCCAACUCUUGCAGGAGUCUCCUUUUCCACAUCUGGCAAGGCUCAGGAAUCCCCCUCCCUUUUCCCCUCGCUGGGCUGCUUUCCCGGCUGCACCAAAGAGGAGCUGAAGUAGUUCCAAGCCAGAUCCAGUGGGAGCUGACAGCAUGUGAGGAUCAUGUCAAACGAAAAGAAAACAAAGCAUAGGGGCGAAAAAUCUUCUUCAGAGAGCUUGUGCUGUUUUCUCUCCAGCUGAGCAAUUUUCUGGAAGAAGAACAACCCUAGUUGGAGCACCUGCGAAACCAUGGUAUAAAAAGGGUCUGUGAUCUAAGAAGAAGAGUUUGG